CUUUAACUGGGCUAAUGCUAAUCUAUUGCUUUCUUUUUCCUGUGCAGUAAAUUUGAUCCAUUUGUACAAUUUUUUGCACAAAAACAUUUAUUAAUGAUAAAAAGCAAAUAAGCCCAAAUAUAGCAAUGAAUAGAGGAUAGCUACAAAUACAUUUAAUACAGAAAAAAAAAAAUCAAAAUAUUAAUUUACAUAUAUAUGUUAAAAACAUAAUAU